rnacentral:rRNA from 1 species
CAGCCGUAAACGAUGCGCGUUAGGUGUAUCGACGACCACGAGUCGUCGAGGUGCCGAAGGGAAACCGUGAAACGUGCCGCCUGGGAAGUACGGUCGCAAGGCUGAAACUUAAAGGAAUUGGCGGGGGAGCACCACAGCAGGUGGAGCCUGCGGUUUAAUUGGACUCAACGCCGGAAAUCUCACCGGAUAAGACAGCAGAAUGAUUGCCGGGCUGAAGACUCUGCAUGACUAGCUGAGAGGAGGUGCAUGGCGUCAGUGACU